GCGGAGGAAAAGAAACCAACAGGGAUUGCCCUAGUAACGGCGAGUGAAGCGGCAACAGCUCAAAUUUGAAAUCUGGCUCUAGGGUCCGAAUUGUAAUUUGCAGAGGAUGCUUUUGGCGAGGUGCCUUCCGAGUUCCCUGGAACGGGACGCCUUAGAGGGUGAGAGCCCCGUACGGUUGGACACUAAGCCUCUGUAAAGCUCCUUCGACGAGUCGAGUAGUUUGGGAAUGCUGCUCUAAAUGGGAGGUAAAUUUCUUCUAAAGCUAAAUACCGGCCAGAGACCGAUAGCGCACAAGUAGAGUGAUCGAAAGAUGAAAAGCACUUUGAAAAGAGGGUUAAACAGCACGUGAAAUUGUUGAAAGGGAAGCGUUUACGGCCAGACCUUUUCCUGGCGGAUCAUCUGGUGUUCUCACCGGUGCACUUCGCUAGGUUUAGGCCAGCAUCGGCUUCUGUAGAGGGAUAAAAGCAGUGGGAAAGUAGCUCUCUCGGGAGUGUUAUAGCCCUAAGCAUAAUACCUUUACGGGGGCCGAGGACCGCGCUUUUGCAAGGAUGCUGGCGUAAUGGUCGUCAACGACCCGU
rnacentral:rRNA from 1 species